rnacentral:snRNA from 1 species
AUUCCUUUCCUCUAUGUAUUAAUCGGAUUUUUGAACUUGGAGUACGGUGCUGGAGCUUGCUCCACCCUGCUCAUGGGUUGUCCUGGUAUUGCAUUGCCUCCAGGUUCGGCUCACGUUUC